AUGAAAACUACGGGAGAGAUCUCCUAUGAGGAGGCACCGACGGGGUAAUCUAUCAGUUUGCCGCUGGUAGAGAAACUUUCAGGUACCAGGACCGUAGUUGGAUC
rnacentral:ncRNA from 1 species